GGGGGUAUUGUGUGUGCUUAGUGGUAGAGCGUUCGACUGCAGAUCGAGUGGUCCCCGGUCCAGACCCGGGAGUCUUCU